rnacentral:rRNA from 1 species
CGGAGGAUCCAAGCGUUAUCCGGAAUCAUUGGGUUUAAAGGGUCCGUAGGCGGGUUUAUAAGUCAGUGGUGAAAGCCCAUCGCUCAACGAUGGAACGGCCAUUGAUACUGUAGAUCUUGAAUUAUCUGGAGGUGAGCGGAAUAUGUCAUGUAGCGGUGAAAUGCUUAGAUAUGACAUAGAACACCAAUUGCGAAGGCAGCUCACUACGGAUAUAUUGACACUGACGGCACGAAAGCGUGGGGAUCAAACAGGAUUAGAUACCCUGGUAGUCCACGCCCUAAACGAUGGAUACUCGACAUCAGCGAUACACUGUUGGUGUCUGAGCGAAAGCAUUAAGUAUCCCCACCUGGGAAGUACGACCGCAAGGUUG